rnacentral:rRNA from 1 species
GAGUGGCCGAUAUCAGAUUAGCUUGUUGGUGAGGUAAAGGCUCACCAAGGCGACGAUCUGUAGCUGGUCUGAGAGGACGACCAGCCACACUGGGACUGAGACACGGCCCAGACUCCUACGGGAGGCAGCAGUGGGGAAUUUUGGACAAUGGGGGCAACCCUGAUCCAGCCAUGCCGCGUGAGUGAAGAAGGCCUUCGGGUUGUAAAGCUCUUUCGGACGGAAAGAAAUCGCCAUUCCUAAUACGAGUGGUGGAUGACGGUACCGUCAUAAGAAGCACCGGCUAACUACGUGCCAGCAGCCGCGGUAAUACGUAGGGUGCGAGCGUUAAUCGGAAUUACUGGGCGUAAAGCGUGCGCAGGCGGUUUUGUAAGACAGGCGUGAAAUCCCCGGGCUUAACCUGGGAACUGCGUUUGUGACUGCAAGGCUAGAGUAUGGCAGAGGGGGGUAGAAUUCCACGUGUAGCAGUGAAAUGCGUAGAGAUGUGGAGGAAUACCGAUGGCGAAGGCAGCCCCCUGGGUCAAUACUGACGCUCAUGCACGAAAGCGUGGGGAGCAAACAGGAUUAGAU